CGGACCUUUUUUCAUUCUCCGCCAUAUGCAUUAUGUACACGCAAAGUUUGGAAAAGAGAGGAAGAUCCUAUCCUAUGCUAUGCAUCGCAUUGAGUACAUGGAAACUGGAUUGUCCGUAUGGAUAACUCUUGGGUGAUCGCUCUCCAACCCAUAAUCCAUCAUCGGACGGUUCUCCAUCUCUUCAUCAUGAUCAUAAGCAAACUCUGGUAUCUCAAUCUCGUUCCUCCUCACGUGGUCCCACAGAAACUCCAAUCUAUUCAUGUAUUUCAGCUUCCAAUAUAAGCCUCCACUGAAAAGAAGACGACCAAAGGUUGCAAGAAAGAGUCUGGCUUGUAAACCAGGGUGCACAAAAUAAACAACCUGGAGAAGAUUCUUGACGUUGAUUGGAAUUGCUUCAUAAAUUGAUCGUAAAGCUGAAAUCCCAGGGAAAUUUUCGCUCCUUUGAACAUCAGUAUGCACAUAUACAAUUGAGAAAGGCCCUUCCUCCAAUUUUGGGAAGAUUUUCUCCCCCAAGUAUUUGUUCAAUACCUCACUACUCACCAGUCGAGCAGGGAAGAGCUUGCCGAUGAUGAGAAGAACCUUUUGGCCACGCUUAUCUCGGCCUUGGAUCUUGAAAACAUCGAGUUUCUGGAUAAGAUUUUCUUGGUC
rnacentral:misc_RNA from 1 species